AGUUUGAUCCUGGCUCAGGAUGAACGCUAGCGGCAGGCCUAAUACAUGCAAGUCGAACGGUGAUAGCAAUAUCAUAGUGGCGCUCGGGUGCGUAACACGUAUGCAACCUACCUAUUAUUGGGGGACAGCCUUUGGAAACGGAGAUUAAUACCGCAUAAUACAAUUGACUGGCAUCGGUUGAUUGUUAAAGCUUUGGCGAUAAUAGAUGGGCAUGCGUCCAAUUAGUUAGUUGGUUAGGUAACGGCUGUCCAAGACGAUGAUUGGUAGGGGAUCUGAGAGGAUAAUCCCCCACACUGGCACUGAGAUACGGGCCAGACUCCUACGGGAGGCAGCAGUAGGGAAUAUUGGGCAAUGGGCGGAAGCCUGACCCAGCCAUGCCGCGUGCAGGAAGAAGGCGUUAUGCGUUGUAAACUGCUUUUUUAUAGGAAGAAGGAUCCCUUGCGAGGGAAGGUGACGGUACUAUAAGAAUAAGCACCGGCUAACUCCGUGCCAGCAGCCGCGGUAAUACGGAGGGUGCAAGCGUUGUCCGGAUUUAUUGGGUUUAAAGGGUGCGUAGGCGGUUUAUUAAGUCAGCGGUGAAAGACGGUCGCUCAACGAUUGCAGUGCCAUUGAUACUGGUAG
rnacentral:rRNA from 1 species